rnacentral:misc_RNA from 1 species
UGGAAGUAAAAGUCGUAAAAGGUUUCCGUAGGUGAACCUGCGGAAGGAUCAUUAAAAAAUGUGGUACCAUUUUGGUACUAAUUAAUCAUCCUACCCUUUGUGAAUUUGUUUGUAUGAAUUUUUUUAAAUGGGUCUUUCCCUAAGUUGGAUUGUUAGUAAAAUACAAAAAGACUUAGGGGAAUGACUUUUUUAAAAGACUUUUUUUUAAAUUAAAACUUUUUGUAUUCAUUUGUCUAAAAUUUAUUUUUAUAAUAUAAAAACAACUUUUGACAAUGGAUCUCUUGGUUCUCGCAACGAUGAAGAACGCAGCAAAAUGCGAUAAGUAGUGUGAAUUGCAGAAUACGUGAAUCAUCGAAUCUUCGAACGCAUAUUGCACUUUUUUAGUUUACUAAAAAGUAUGUCUGUUUGAGUAUCAGUAAAAUAUUCUCACAAAAACAUUUGUUUUUUGUGGUUAUGAGUGUUUUGCAACGAUAAACAAGUUGUUUCACUUUAAAUUCUUUUUAAUUGAAUUUACCAAUUCAUAAAUUAAAAUUGGAUAAAAUUUUCCUUUAACGAGGAAUAACCUAGACAAUUUUAAAUUUUAUGGAUUAAUAAACAUUCAUCAGAGGAAUCUAUACAACAAAUAACUUGAUCUCAAAUCAGAUAAGAGUACCCGCUGAACUUAAGCAUAUCAAUAAGCGGAGGAAAAGAAACUAACAAGGAUUCCCUUAGUAACGGCGAGUGAAGCGGGAAGAGCUCAAAUUUGAAAUCUUCAAGGUUUGACCUUGACGAAUUGUAGUUUAUAGAAGUGUUUUCUGUUGGAGUUUUGGUAAAAGUUCUUUGGAAUAGGACAUCAUAGAGGGUGAGAAUCCCGUAUUUGACCAUGACCUUCCAGCUGUGUGAUACACUUUCAAAGAGUCGGAUUGUUUGGGAAUGCAGUCCAAAAUGGGUGGUAAAUUUCAUCUAAAGCUAAAUAUUGGCGAGAGACCGAUAGCGAACAAGUACCGUGAGGGAAAGAUGAAAAGAACUUUGAAAAGAGAGUUAUACAGUACGUGAAAUUGUCAAAAGGGAAGCGUUUGACACCAGUGUUGUUUUCUCGAAAAUCAAUUUAAUGAGUUCUUGUUUUUAAGUUAUUGUGACUUUAUCAGCGCAUUUCUUAUCUUACUUGACUCAUUGAAUGCACUUUUCGUUUAACAAGUCAACAUCAAUUUCUUUGGUGGUAAAAAGUUUAAAGGAAGGUGGCUUGGACUUCGGUUCAAGUGUUAUAGCCUUUUUCUAUGCCAUCGGAGAGAUUGAGGUCUGCAGCGUAGAUCCUUCGGGGUUAGAUACCUUUGUGCUAAGUUAUAGUUUUUUAUAGACAACUUGUUGACUAUAAUAACCCUGUAAUUUACUCGCUUAGGCUAUUUUACCUACGCUUAGGAUGUUGAG